AUUGAACGCUGGCGGCAGGCCUAACACAUGCAAGUCGAACGAGUGGCGGACGGGUGAGUAAUGUCUGGGAAACUGCCUGAUGGAGGGGGAUAACUACUGGAAACGGUAGCUAAUACCGCAUACCAUCAGAUGUGCCCCUAUGGGAUUAGCUUGGUGGUGGGGUAACGGCUCACCAAGGCGACGAGCCCUAGCUGGUCUGAGAGGAUGACCAUGCCCCCUGGAACUGAGACACUGUCCAGACUCCACCGGGAGGCAGCAGUGGGGAAUAUUGCACAAUGGGCGCAAGCCUGAUGGAGCCAUGCCGCGUGUAUGAAGAAGGCCUUCGGGUUUUAAAGUACUUUCAGCGGGGAGGCGUUACCCGCAGAAGAAGCCCCGGCUAACUCCGUGCCAGCAGCCGCGGUAAUAC
rnacentral:rRNA from 1 species